rnacentral:rRNA from 1 species
GAUGAACGCUAGCUACAGGCUUAACACAUGCAAGUCGAGGGGAAACGACAUUGAAGCUUGCUUCGAUGGGCGUCGACCGGCGCACGGGUGAGUAACGCGUAUCCAACCUGCCCCUGACUAAGGGAUAACCCGGCGAAAGUCGGACUAAUACCUUAUGAGGUUUUCUGCAGACAUCUAAUGAAAACGAAAGAUUUAUCGGUCAGCGAUGGGGAUGCGUCUGAUUAGCUUGUUGGCGGGGUAACGGCCCACCAAGGCAACGAUCAGUAGGGGUUCUGAGAGGAAGGUCCCCCACAUUGGAACUGAGACACGGUCCAAACUCCUACGGGAGGCAGCAGUGAGGAAUAUUGGUCAAUGGGCGAGAGCCUGAACCAGCCAAGUAGCGUGCAGGAUGACGGCCCUAUGGGUUGUAAACUGCUUUUAUGUGGGGAUAAAGUGAGCUACGUGUAGUUUAUUGCAGGUACCACAUGAAUAAGGACCGGCUAAUUCCGUGCCAGCAGCCGCGGUAAUACGGAAGGUCCAGGCGUUAUCCGGAUUUAUUGGGUUUAAAGGGAGCGUAGGCCGUGGAUUAAGCGUGUUGUGAAAUGUAGACGCUCAACGUCUGAAUUGCAGCGCGAACUGGUUCACUUGAGUAUGCACAACGUAGGCGGAAUUCGUCGUGUAGCGGUGAAAUGCUUAGAUAUGACGAAGAACUCCGAUUGCGAAGGCAGCUUACGGGAGCACAACUGACGCUGAAGCUCGAAGGUGCGGGUAUCAAACAGG